AUUGAACGCUGGCGGCAGGCUUAACACAUGCAAGUCGAGCGGGGAAGAGUAGCUUGCUACUUGACCUAGCGGCGGACGGGUGAGUAAUGCUUAGGAAUCUGCCUAUUAGUGGGGGACAACAUCUCGAAAGGGAUGCUAAUACCGCAUACGUCCUACGGGAGAAAGCAGGGGACCUUCGGGCCUUGCGCUAAUAGAUGAGCCUAAGUCGGAUUAGCUAGUUGGUGGGGUAAAGGCCUACCAAGGCGACGAUCUGUAGCGGGUCUGAGAGGAUGAUCCGCCACACUGGGACGGAGACACGGCCCAGACUCCUACGGGAGGCAGCAGUGGGGAAUAUUGGACAAUGGGGGGAACCCUGAUCCAGCCAUGCCGCGUGUGUGAAGAAGGCCUUUUGGUUGUAAAGCACGUUAAGCGAGGAGGAGGCUACCGAGAUUAAUACUCUUGGAUAGUGGACGUUACUCGCAGAAUAAGCACCGGCUAACUCUGUG
rnacentral:rRNA from 1 species